GCUCAAAUUUGAAAUCUGACGUCUUUGACGUUCGAAUUGUAAUUUGGAGGGGCAUUUUCGGAGCUGGCGUCGUCCUAAGUUCCUUGGAACAGGACGUCACAGAGGGUGAGAAUCCCGUGCCUGGAUGACUGUCCAGCUCCAUGUGAGGUGUCUCCGACGAGUCGAGUUGUUUGGGAAUGCAGCUCAAAAUGGGUGGUAAAUUUCAUCUAAAGCUAAAUACUGGCGAGAGACCGAUAGCGCACAAGUAGAGUGAUCGAAAGAUGAAAAGCACUUUGAAAAGAGAGUUAAAAAGUACGUGAAAUUGUUGAAAGGGAAGCGCUUGAGACCAGAUUCAACCUUCGGUGAUCAGCUGUGCUUCUGUACGGUGCACUUGCCGGGGGUUGGGCCAGCAUCGGUUUUGACGGUGGGAUAAAGGUUCGAGGAAUGUGGCUCCCCGAUUCCGGGGAGUGUUAUAGCCCUGAGCGCAAUGCCACCAGUCGGGACCGAGGACCGCGCUUCCGCUAGGAUGCUGGCGAAAUGGUUUUAAGCGGCCCGUCUUGAAACACGGACCAAGGAGUCUAACAUCUAUGCGAGUGUUCGGGUGGAAAACCCUUGCGCGUAAUGAAAGUGAACGGAGGUGGGAACCCUUCGGGGUGCACCAUCG
rnacentral:rRNA from 1 species